rnacentral:rRNA from 1 species
GGGUACUGCCUGCCCGGUGACGUAAUUGUUAAACGGCCGCGGUAUUUUUGACUGUGCGAAGGUAGCGUAAUCAUUUGCUCUUUAAUUGGGGGCUGGAAUGAAUGGCAAGACAGGGGCUGUGCUGUCUCUUCUUUAAUCUCUUGAAUCUAAUAUCGCUGUGAAGAAGCGGUGAUAUAACCGUAAGACGAGAAGACCCUGUUGAGCUUUAUAUUGUGGUGGUUUUUUGUAUAAUAAGGACUUGUAGCUGGUUGUUUUUUGUUGUGAGGCAGAGAUUUAUAGAAACCAUUAUUAGGUUUUAAUACAGGGAAGCUGUUAGGUAUUUGGUUGGGGCAACCGCGGAGAAUAUUAAUCCUCCGUUUGGUAGUGGAGUAAAAGGUAUUGCUUUGUCGUGAUUUAGUAAGUUUACUUUUGGACCCAUCAAUGGUGAUCGAAAGAAUGAGUUACCACAGGGAUAACAGCGUUAUUUCUUUGGAGAGUUCGUAUUGAUAAAGGAGUUUGCGACCUCGAUGUUGGAUCGGGAUGUCCUAGGGAUGUAGCAGUUUCUGAGGGUUGGUCUGUUCGACCAUUAAAAUCCU